UUGAAAGGUAAUCAUGCAUGAUUACAGGGAUUAGGACAUGAGUGGAUGAGCAGCAAUGCUCCACUGACCUUUUGUUACUCAUUACUGGACGUUCAAAAAAAGUGUCUUGCUAAAUCUUAAGGGAAUGCUCAGCUCAGUGACCGUGAUCUGUUAUUGUCUGUCUGUACCAUUUCACAGUGGCAGGCACAGAGUGAGGGGAUUGACAGUGUAUCAUACUUCGCUGAGGAGGAGGAUGAUGAAGAGGAUAAGAGUGUGGGUUAAGUGUUUAGCUGCGGUAAUUGCGUCACCGGGGGGGCAGUCUCGUACGUUUGGCCUCUGGGCCCUGCAGAUUGAAGGGGAAGGCAAAAAGCUGGCUUGGGGAGUGUGCUGGAGACAGACAGACAGGAAAAGGAGGACAGGGAUGCCAGGGAACUUCUCUGGUGCUGAGAGGUCAGCAGCUGUCCAACACUGUACUGGAAAUCACUUCUAUGUGCGGAGUACUCUGAAAACCACAGAGGAUGGCAUUCCAUACCAGUUUCAAUCAAGUGUAUAUUUCACAUGAACGAUCCCAACACAAGCAUGACAACAGUGUUCAGGUGAUAGACUCUACAUCUGUAGUCAAAGCUCUAUCCACAAGACCAACCUAAAUGCAUACCCACUACUGUAUUGACAGAACGUGCAAGAUGCUGUAGAUAACUAUGUGUGUGUGCCCAAGCCAAAAUACAACAAACUUGCACUAUAACUUCUCAAGGCCUUUUCUGGGAGCAUCUGCGGUAUAAAAAAUGCUAAUAUAAGACUAGCUGAUUAAUAAUUAAACAAUUACUGUUAUGAAUCAAUAACUUCUGCACAUAUUUUUCAUCAGCACAUUGGUACAAUAAACAAAUAAUCAGUAUUAGCAAUUCAAAUAUGCAUGGGGGAAAAAAAUACAUUCUAAUCUGUAUAUUUUGAUGAAAAAUUAAAC
rnacentral:lncRNA from 8 species